rnacentral:lncRNA from 1 species
CUCUCCUGCGUUCAUCGUCUAUAUUUCCUGGCGAGAAAAAUAUUAUCGAAGAGGUUGAUUUAGAAGAAACUUCAGUAAGAAUUUCUAAUCCAAAUAUUUGCAGCUGUAGACAUCUUGUAUGAAACGUGAAGUUUUUAUGAGUCCAAUUACAAAGCUUAAAAUUACAUGUUUCCCAACUUUUUCUCCGAACUUUUUCUCCGGCAAAUCAAGAAAAAGUGAAAGGCCCUAACAUGUUCAGACGUCACUGUCCCAUUCUUUUCAAAGUUUAAAGGACUGAAUUAGAUAACCGAAGUACUAACCAUUUAACUUCCAGUAAAAAAAUCUGUCUUGACCUUGUCAAAUAGUUCUAUCAAACUAAACAUAAACAGAGACAUGCAACCGAAAGAAGCAGAAAAUGCACACCAGACUUGACUUGAAUUUGUCCACAAAUUCGCUGUUCUUAAUCCCCUCAAGAAACUCACUCGAGCUCUUGUGCUCCAAUUUCCUCAGCCUGGACUUGAACGCUCUUAUCGGCUCCCAGAAUUCCUCAAACUGCCCUUCCUCUCUUUCCCUCUCCUUAAACCUCACCCUUCACCAACUCCUGAAAGUUUCCCUAUCGUGCUUCUCCUCCUCAUCGACCUCCGUAACAAUUGCCUUCUUAAUCUGCGACCGCGGGUACAACUUGAAGUCGGGAGACGAAUACGCCCUCCAAAAUUCGGACAAUCUUGGCUGAAGCUUUCUAACAAAGUCAAUUUCCGCUGGCGGAGUGUGAUUACGAGUAGCAGAGGCUGUAAUUGUAGGAACGCUGAAGGGUGAAUUCGAAGCCGAGUUGAGGAAAUUAGAGUGUGUUUGAUUGAAAUAGAAAAUAUUAGCUAGAAAUGAAAAUAUUUUUCAUUUUUUGUGGAAAAUAAAAAUUAUCUCUACCCAAGGAAAAUAUUUUUCUCAAAAACAAGGAAAAUUAG